UUCAGUCCGGGCUGGAGAUCCGGUGCCCAUUUGGUUGCAACAGGACAUUUAAGGUGACAACCUGGGAUCCCACAUGAUUGGUGGUUUUGUCGAGAAUUUUAGCCGAAGCCUACAUUUCUGCAGGUAUGUCCAACUUAGAGGAAAUAAAACUUGCCAUCUCCUCUUCGUUACCUGGUCUCUCUGAUGAAACGCUUAAAAAAUGUAUCCAUGGACUUUCUGCUAUUGGUGUUGAGACAAAAGAUGACCUCCAGUAUGUCAAAGAAGAAGACCUCAUGGAGUUCCUCAGGCCUAUACAAUGCCGCAAACUACUGAAUGCAUGGAAAAAUGAAGAACAAUCCAGGUGCACAAGUCCCCAACGCUCAUUGCGUCAUGUUCUUUCGGAUACAUCAAGCCCAGGAUCAGAGAGUUCAAGUUCUACAACAUCUAGUUCUACUGCUUGCUUUUCAGC